GCGUGUGUAGUAUAGUGGUCAGUACCUGCCCUUGUGGCGGUGAAAUUCCUGGUUCGAAUCCGGGCACGCGCA
rnacentral:tRNA from 1 species